GGGUGACCGGCCACACUGGGACUGAGACACCGCCCAGACUCCUACGGGAGGCAGCAGUGGGGAAUAUUGCACAAUGGGCGAAAGCCCUGAUGCAGCGACGCCCGCGUGAGGGGAUGACGGCCUUCGGGUUGUAAACCUCUUUCAGCAGGGACGAAGCGCAAGUGACGGUACCUGCAGAAGAAGCACCGGCUAACUACGUGCCAGCAGCCGCGGUAAUACGUAGGGUGCGAGCGUUGUCCGGAAUUAUGUGGGCGUAAAGAGCUCGUAGGCGGUUUGUCGCGUCGGCCGUGAAAACUUGGGGCUUAACCCCGAGCCUGCGGUCGAUACGGGCAGACUUGAGUUCGGCAGGGGAGACUGGAAUUCCUGGUGUAGCGGUGAAAUGCGCAGAUAUCAGGAGGAACACCGGUGGCGAAGGCGGGUCUCUGGGCCGAUACUGACGCUGAGGAGCGAAAGCGUGGGGAGCGAACAGGAUUAGAUACCCUGGUAGUCCACGCCGUAAACGGUGGGUGCUAGGUGUGGGGGACUUCCACGUUCUCCGUGCCGCAGCUAACGCAUUAAGCACCCCGCCUGGGGAGUACGGCCGCAAGGCUAAAACUCAAAGGAAUUGACGGGGGCCCGCACAAGCGGCGGAGCAUGUGGAUUAAUUCGAUGCAACGCGAAGAACCUUACCUGGGCUUUGACAUGCACUGGAAACCGGUAGAGAUAUCGGCCCCCUUGUGGCCGGCGUACAGGUGGUGCAUGGCUGUCGUUCAGCUCGUGUCGUGAGAUGUUGGGGUUAAGUCCCGCAACGAGCGCAACCCUCGUUCCAUGUUGCCAGCACGUUAUGGGUGGGGACCUCAUGGGGAGACUGCCGGGGUCAACUCGGAGGAAGGUGGGGAUGACGUCAAGUCAUCAUGCCCCUUAUGUCCAGGGCUUCACACAUGCUACAAUGGCCGGUACAAAGGGCUGCUAAGCCGUGAGGUGGAGCGAAUCCCAUAAAG
rnacentral:rRNA from 2 species